GUCGUGGGUAUGUGUUCUCUCUUACAGAUUAACCGGUGCAUUCGACUGGUUGCUGACAUCCUCAAUACAUCAUUUCUGAGCACGAUGGUUUCUGCUGUCCCAGUUGGAACAUUUGGAAGUAUCCAGUACAAUCUACUGGGCUCCCCACAUGUGACCGAUAGGUACUUUGAAAUACCUUAUCAAGCUUCAUUUCAAGCAUUCCUGCCUGGAGCUCCCUCCAGCUCUCUGCCCUUCAGUGUCACUCCACUGCCCAGUACCAACUUCCAGCUAGCCCUAAGCAAGGACUUCAUCAGCAAUGGUAUAGCUGUUCUGACUGGUGCUGCCAGUGUCAACGUCACAAACCAAGGAGGGAACCAGCUAAUGACUUUGAACCUGGCAGGUCUGAUUCCUGAGCUUUCUGAGCUCUUCCGAACUUCUAAGCCACUUGUGGUAAAAAUUAAGGGUGUGAACUCCCCACUGGUUUCUUUUGAGAAGCAGAGCCCCAAGGUGCAGCAAACUCUGUCCAUUAAGAUCUUA
rnacentral:lncRNA from 1 species